rnacentral:lncRNA from 1 species
UCUCGUGUUCACUUCUCUUUCUUCGUUUUUUCUGUGCUACUGAGAAUACCCUCUCUUUCUCUCUAACUUUAUUAGCUCUCUUUCUCUCUACGCCAUCGUUUUACCGCCGGUGAACGUUUAUUUAACCGGAGGAUUUGGUCAGUUGGGAAGUUCGAUCGGCUGUAGAGAACAAUUAGCACACGGCACCAGCUUAAUCGCAAAGUCAAGCUCUUUUGAUCGCGGUAAAAUUACCUUUCCGUCCUCGAUUUUGCCCUCGGAUCACUAAUUUUGUUAAAUUUUUGAGCUUUUUUGUUGAGCUUUUGCUGUUUUAAUUAUGAUUUUUCUUAGUUCUAUUUUCGACUAUUUUAGCCUUUUUAAGUUUUCUAUAAUUUGGAGUUUGCAUUAUUAUUAUUAUUUUUUUAAAUUAAUUUGAAUUUGAAGGUCUUAGGUUACUCAAGUUAUAGGGAUUAUGGUUUUAGGUAGUUUUUGAUUAAUCUUCUGAAUGUACUUGAAGAAAAUUUGUUAAUUGAUUUCUCAUUUCCAUUUCUAGUAAUUAGCUAAUUCGAAGGCAUUAAAUGAACAGAAAGUGAUGAAGGAUUCUUUUUUUCUACAUGGUCUGUUUUACAAAUUUGUAUCAAUAAAGCUUGGUUUUUGGAAGUUUUGUCGUGGGUAGAGUUACCCAGUACCUGAGCUGGUGGGAUGUAGCAGCUACCCGGUGUAAUAAUAGAGGUGCGUGUAAGCUGGCCCGGACACCACCGUCAUUGAAAAAAGCUAGUAAUAUUUGUGUAGUUGUUUUAGCUUAUUCAAUUUGUUAAUUGCAUUCCGACGUG